GAGUUUGAUCAUGGCUCAGGACGAACGCUGGCGGCGUGCUUAACACAUGCAAGUCGAGCGAUGAAGCUUCCUUCGGGAAGUGGAUUAGCGGCGGACGGGUGAGUAACACGUGGGCAACCUGCCUCAAAGAGGGGAAUAGCCCUCCGAAAGGAGGAUUAAUACCGCAUAAAGUUAGAGUUUCGCAUGAAACUUUAACCAAAGGAGUAAUCUGCUUUGAGAUGGGCCCGCGUCCCAUUAGCUAGUUGGUAAGGUAAUGGCUUACCAAGGCAACGAUGGGUAGCCGACCUGAGAGGGUGAUCGGCCACAUUGGAACUGAGACACGGUCCAGACUCCUACGGGAGGCAGCAGUGGGGAAUAUUGCGCAAUGGGGGAAACCCUGACGCAGCGACGCCGCGUGGGUGAUGAAGGUUUUCGGAUCGUAAAACCCUGUUUUCUGGGACGAUAAUGACGGUACCAGAUGAGGAAGCCACGGCUAACUACGUGCCAGCAGCCGCGGUAAUAC
rnacentral:rRNA from 1 species